rnacentral:rRNA from 1 species
CAGCAGCCGCGGGAAUACGUAGGUGGCAAGCGUUGUCCGGAAUUAUUGGGCGUAAAGGGCUCGCAGGCGGUUUCUUAAGUCUGAUGUGAAAGCCCCCGGCUCAACCGGGGAGGGUCAUUGGAAGCUGGGAAACUUGAGUGCAGAAGAGGAGAGUGGAAUUCCACGUGUAGCGGUGAAAUGCGUAGAGAUGUGGAGGAACACCAGUGGCGAAGGCGACUCUCUGGUCUGUAACUGACGCUGAGGAGCGAAAGCGUGAGGAGCAAACAGGAUUAGAUACCCGCGUAGUCCCUGUCUCUUAUAA